rnacentral:rRNA from 1 species
ACGUUAGCGGCGGACGGGUGAGUAACACGUGGGUAACCUACCUAUAAGACUGGGAUAACUUCGGGAAACCGGAGCUAAUACCGGAUAAUAUUUCGAACCGCAUGGUUCGAUAGUGAAAGAUGGUUUUGCUAUCACUUAUAGAUAGACCCGCGCCGUAUUAGCUAGUUGGUAAGGUAACGGCUUACCAAGGCGACGAUACGUAGCCGACCUGAGAGGGUGAUCGGCCACACUGGAACUGAGACACGGUCCAG